rnacentral:lncRNA from 1 species
AGCGGUAUCAUCGCUUCUGUCCCAUAAGCUAAGUUUAAAGGGGAUUCACCAGUUGGUAUGCGGAGAGUCGUUCGAUACGCCCAUAAGAUCGAAUAUAAUUCUUCUACUCAGAGGCCUUUGACUUCAUUCAGUCAGAUUUUUAGCCCGUGUAGGAUUGUUCGGUUGGUUACUUCUACCUCAGCGUUUGACUGUGGAUGACCGACCGACGUGAGUUUGUGCGUAAUAUG